rnacentral:rRNA from 1 species
AACGAACGCUGGCGGCAUGCCUAACACAUGCAAGUCGAACGAGACCUUCGGGUCUAGUGGCGCACGGGUGCGUAACGCGUGGGAACCUGCCCUUAGGUUCGGAAUAAAUCCCCGCAAGGGGUGCUAAUACCGGAUAAUAUCUUCGGACCAAAGAUUUAUCGCCUUUGGAUGGGCCCGCGUUGGAUUAGCUAGUUGGUAGGGUAAAAGCCUACCAAGGCGACGAUCCAUAGCUGGUCUGAGAGGAUGAUCAGCCACACUGGGACUGAGACACGGCCCAGACUCCUACGGGAGGCAGCAGUGGGGAAUAUUGGACAAUGGGCGAAAGCCUGAUCCAGCAAUGCCGCGUGAGUGAUGAAGGCCUUAGGGUUGUAAAGCUCUUUUACCCGGGAUGAUAAUGACAGUACCGGGAGAAUAAGCUCCGGCUAACUCCGUG